rnacentral:lncRNA from 1 species
UCUCCUCUGAAGCUGUUGCCAUGGCCACUGGGGACUUUUGAUGCGAAGCACGAUGACCCCCUCCUCUCUCUCCCCCCCCCCCCGCUCGAUUUCAGGAUGACGUCACAGACGUCCGCGUCCCUGACAGGCCACCCGCAGGCUGGUCUCCGCUUUAAAGCAGCUGUGCCCCUGUCCCCUCGAAGUCCAGCGGGCAGCCACCGUGUCCACGUCUGGGAGUGUGCCGGGACCUUCCUACCUCCUCUCGGUGUGAACAUUGCGGUGGACAGCACAGACGACCGGAGACAGACAGGGCUCCUCUUGGAAGGGCUGCCAACACCAAGUCUCAACUGGAUUCAGGAGGUCAAGUCCCAGGAUGCCCUGGAGGGAAGGGAAAGGAUCUGCUCAGCCACAGACUCUAGGUGUAGCCGACCUGUUGCCUGCGGGGAAAGCGUCCCACAAGAUCUGAGAGCCAGGAGUCCGUGCUGAAGUCAGCCGCGAUCUUACGGGCGAGCAUCCCCAGAGUCCAGCGCCCACGGGAGGAAGACGUACACAGUGCCGGGAAAAGCAGCGGGUAACCAUCCCAGGACAACCAAACCCUUUUCUUACCCUUUGUGUCAUUAGUUGGUGGCCGAACGAGCCCGGGGAAAGGGAGUAUGAGGGCUGGGGAAGUAGCUGAUGAAAAGGCGCAAACAGGGCAGAUAAAUCCCAGUCUUACAUCUCCACUCGCUGGGAUCCUGAAUGGAGCUCGGGAUCCCGCAGUAUUGGAGGUCCGUACAGCUUCAGCACCACUCAUUAGGCACCUUCAGAAGCUGGACAGCACCGGGGCCGCAGAGUACUAGAGGUCGGUUCCUGGGCUCUUCUCAAGACGCCAGGCCCAUGCCCACAAUUCCAGACUCCAUUCAAACGAGGCCAAGAGGUGCGAUGCGGUUUGUAGAAGAAUAACGGUGUGUGUGUGUGGUGGUGGUGGUGGUGGUGGGGGGCGGUCCGGGGAGGAGAUCGGCUUUCUCGUUUCUCCAGAACUUUGGGUGUCUAGGACAUUCUAUGUCACCUUCACUAUCUAAACCAAAGGGGAAUCGCCACAUUUAGGUCUGCCUUCUCCCCAAACCUUACUCGGGGUAAACGAGGGAAAAAAACAUGGAGUUGGAGAGAAAAGAAACCGAGGCAAUGGUAGGAAGUAGUACAUUGUGUCUGGGUGCCGCACCUCUGGGUGUAGAUGAAGUCUGCCCCAAAUGAGCAUCCAGGUAGGCAGGCAGGUAGGUAUGUGUGUGUGU